rnacentral:rRNA from 1 species
GACGAACGCUGGCGGCGUGCUUAACACAUGCAAGUCGAACGGAAAGGCCCUGCUUUUGUUGGGUGCUCGAGUGGCGAACGGGUGAGUAACACGCGAGUAACCCGCCCCUGACUUUGUGAUAACUUCAGGAAACUGGGGCUCUUACCGGAUAGGAGCUCCUGCUGCAUGGGGUGGGUUGGAAAGUUUCGGCGGUUGGGGAUCGACUCGCGGCUUAUCCGCUUGUUGGUGGGGUAGUGGCUUACCAAGGCUUUGACGGGUAGCCUGCCUGAGAGGGUGACCGGGGACAUUGGGACUGAGAGACGGCGCAGACUCGUACGGGAGGCAGCAGGGGGGAGUAUUGCACAAUGGGCGGAAGCGUGAGACAGCAACGCUGCGAGCGGGAUGACGGCCUACGGGUUGUAAACAGCUGUCGACGGAGACGAGGAGUGAGUGACGGUAAUGAGUAAAGAAGCACCGGCUAACUACGUG